rnacentral:misc_RNA from 1 species
AAAACUCUGCCCCGCGGUCCUUAGUACUAAGCUAAUGCAAAAGAAAUUAUAAUUUUCUAGCUACCAAUGAAUAUUUUAUAAAUUUUUAUCCUAAACCCAGCAUUAGGUAAAUUAGACAAUUUGGAGUUUAGGUUUGACUACGCAAAUUCUAACACCUGAAAUGCGUCCGGGGCAUUUGAAAUUUGAUAGAAAAGACUAUAAUAUUGACCCACUUUCGAAGCGAGUCCGGCAGCUCGCUUGUGUAGCCUGGCAAUGCAGAUCCGGGCACCGAUAGAAUUUCCAUAAAACGAGAAUACAAUUAGUGUGUCAUUUGAGAA